rnacentral:rRNA from 1 species
AGUAGUUUGACUCCGUGGCUCAGGACGAACGCUGGCGGCACGCUUAACACAUGCAAGUCGAACGGUGAAUCGGAGCUUGCUUUGAUUCAUAGUGGCGGACGGGUGAGUAACACGUGAGUAACCUGCCUCUGUGUGGGGAAUAGCUUCUGGAAACGGAUGGUAAUACCGCAUAACAUAUAUGUAUCGCAUGGUAUAUAUAUCAAAGAUUUAUCGCACAGAGAUGGACUCGCGUCUGAUUAGGUAGUUGGUGAGGUAACGGCUCACCAAGCCGACGAUCAGUAGCCGGACUGAGAGGUCGGACGGCCACAUUGGGACUGAGAGACGGCCCAAACUCC